AGCCUGCGACCGUCGAAACGCGAGUGGGAUUUUCCUCUUGCGUCCGUUGCGCCUGUGAUACCCGACAACUGUAGCAGCAUGUCAUCUGAUCCGACUUCAACUGAAGGCUCGCCGACUGAUGCGGAAGCAGUUUACUUCGUUUCGCAUGGGCCACCAAAGAAAAUUGUGAAGUUCACAGGCGCCCGGAAGCUCGCCGACCUUCACGAAAGUGUGCGGAUGGGUGGGUUCGCGCACCGGAUGACAUGCAACGAUCUCCUAAUACAGCAUGCUGGAAGCUGCACAGGGGAGUUGGCAAGGGGGCACAAGGAAGCAAUGCCCCGUUGCUGUCCGUAGGGUGAACGCAAGGCGGCUCGUGGCAGCCGCAAUUUCUACGCUGCGCUUUUCAUCUCUGAAGCCAUGCGCAGCAGCGUGCAGUCGUCAUGUUUAGAAAAGCAGUGCAAAGGUACCCGAAUAAGCUGUACAACAUUGCUGCAAGGUGCCUUGGUAAACCAGUACCCAGCCCUGAGGAACAGAUUGGACUCUGGCUAUAUGCAAAAGGCGUGAGCGCCAUCAUGGUUGUACCAUUUCUUGUCAAUGAGCAAGGGGACGACAUGUUCACAAAAAUG
rnacentral:lncRNA from 1 species